rnacentral:rRNA from 1 species
UGGGGAAUAUUGCACAAUGGGCGCAAGCCUGAUGCAGCCAUGCCGCGUGUGUGAAGAAGGCCUUCGGGUUGUAAAGCACUUUCAGCGAGGAGGAAGGUGGUGAGCUUAAUACGCUCAUCAAUUGACGUUACUCGCAGAAGAAGCACCGGCUAACUCCGUGCCAACAGCCGCGGUAAUACGGAGGGUGCAAGCGUUAAUCGGAAUUACUGGGCGUAAAGCGCACGCAGGCGGUUUGUUAAGUCAGAUGUGAAAUCCCCGGGCUCAACCUGGGAACUGCAUUUGAAACUGGCAAGCUAGAGUCUCGUAGAGGGGGGUAGAAUUCCAGGUGUAGCGGUGAAAUGCGUAGAGAUCUGGAGGAAUACCGGUGGCGAAGGCGGCCCCCCUGGACGAAGACUGACGCUCAGGUGCGAAAGCGUGGGGCAGCAAACAGGAUUAGAUACCCUGGUAGUCCAGCGCUGUAAAACGAUGUCGAUUUGGAGGUUGUGCCCUUGAGGCGUGGCUUCCGGAGCUAACGCGUUAAAUCGACCGCCUGGGGAGUACGGCCGCAAGGUUAAAACUCAAAUGAAUUGAC